UGGGACGACCCAUUAUUUUCUCAGAAAAACAACAAAAUUGACUCAAGAUACUUAUGCACAUGAUAAAGGAUGUCUUGAAUGUCCCAAAAUAUUUCGACAAAAAUCGAAGUUACAGACUUUUGCCUUUGCACGGCAGAUCUGUACCCACCAGGCUCCCAAAGAGAGGAAAGUGGAGGCAACAGAAGUCUUAUCAAACCUUUUUGCCCCAGGGAGCCAGGUACCCACAAAAAGCAUCCAUGUCCAUAAGGUUCCACCAGGGAGCACCUGUAUCUGUUGGGUACCCAAAGAGAAGAAAGUGGAGACAGCAAAACCCUCAAGCUUCUUUCCCAGUAGGAGCACGGUUUCUACAAGGAACAUCCCAUGCCUGCCUGUUCCCGACAGGGAAGAAAGUGGAGGCAGCUGAAGUCUCGGAUCUCUGUCCCACGGCAGUACCUCUACCCGCCAGGGCCCCACAGGGAGGAGCCAUGUCUGCCAGGCUGGAAUUAGAGCCUAGAGCCUCUCUAAAUUUACCGGUUACACAAAAGAGGCCAUUUACCUGGAGCACAGAAGCACUGAUUACCUCUAUGAAACACCUUUUUCCACAAGAAGCACCCAUGCUCACCAGGUCCCCACAAAGAUCAACCCUGCCCAUCGGGACCCCACAGGGAGCACCAGAGAACACCUUUUCCAACAUGGAGCACCCCAUACUGCCUUGUCCCUAGAGGUAGCGCCCAAGCCUGUCAUGUUCCCACAAGGAUCAGCUGUGCCUACUUCUUUGCCACAGGCAACUCGCAAGUAGUUCACUCAAAAAGAGGCCAUAUCCAUGGAGCACAGGACAAUGUUGAUGCUGAUCAGCCACCUCCAUGUAAAAAGCGGUGCAUGCAAAUCAAAUGAGGAACAAAAGUUCACCCACAUUUUCUGAAUACCCUUACAAAAAAUAAGUUUAUUAAAGUGUGCUAUUACUAUACUUCUUUUAAACUAAGGGAAAGUAUGCUUUUAUUUUACUUUUUAUGUACUUCUCAGAAGUAGGCUUUAUGUACUCUUCAGAAAUAUACUUAAAAUGACAUUUAAGUAUACUUGACUUUUACUUACAAAAAGUCUAAAUAUAUUUGAGCUAUACUUGUGCUCCUAGAAUCAGUGUUUUCAUUGUUAUAUGGUAGAGGGCGCUAGUACACAUCUUCUGUACAGAAUUUCCAAAAAAACACAAGUGAAGAAGAAAAAGAAACACCAGAUACUAACACAUGUAAUCUAACUCGAU
ensembl:lncRNA